rnacentral:rRNA from 1 species
UACGUAGGUGGCAAGCGUUGUCCGGAUUUACUGGGCGUAAAGAGCGCGCAGGCGGUCGUUCAAGUCGCGUGUGAAAGCCCCCGGCUCAACUGGGGAGGGUCACGCGAUACUGAUCGACUCGAAGGCAGGAGAGGGAAGUGGAAUUCCCGGUGUAGUGGUGAAAUGCGUAGAUAUCGGGAGGAACACCUGUGGCGAAAGCGGCACCCUGGCAUUGGCCUGACGCUCAUGUGCGAAAGCGUGGGGAGCGAACGGG